UUCCUUGUAACUUCAUCUCAUUACAGCCAACUUCAACAAUAUCUCAUACCAUCAAACACUUGCACUUCUCUUGAUAUAAACACCAUGGCAGCUGCUACAAUGGCUCUUUCUUCCCCUUCUUUUGCUGGACAAGCAGUGAAACUCUCACCAUCUGCCUCAGAAAUCACAGGAAAUGGAAGGAUCACUAUGAGAAAGGCUGUCGCCAAGUCUGCCCCAUCUAGCAGCCCAUGGUAUGGCCCUGACCGUGUUAAGUACUUGGGCCCAUUCUCUGGUGAGUCCCCUAGCUACUUGACCGGUGAAUUCCCUGGUGACUAUGGGUGGGACACCGCUGGACUUUCAGCAGAUCCAGAAACCUUUGCCAAGAACCGUGAACUCGAGGUGAUCCACUGCAGAUGGGCUAUGCUUGGUGCUCUUGGAUGUGUCUUCCCUGAGCUCUUGGCCCGUAAUGGUGUCAAGUUUGGUGAGGCUGUCUGGUUCAAGGCUGGAUCUCAAAUCUUCAGUGAGGGUGGACUUGACUACUUGGGCAACCCAAGCUUGGUCCAUGCACAGAGCAUCUUGGCCAUCUGGGCUUGCCAAGUUGUACUCAUGGGAGCCAUUGAAGGUUACCGUAUUGCUGGUGGACCUCUUGGUGAGGUUGUAGACCCACUCUACCCCGGUGGAAGCUUCGACCCAUUAGGCCUUGCUGAAGACCCAGAGGCAUUUGCUGAGCUCAAGGUAAAGGAGAUUAAGAACGGUAGACUUGCUAUGUUCUCUAUGUUUGGAUUCUUUGUUCAAGCCAUUGUUACUGGAAAGGGACCAUUGGAGAACCUUGCUGAUCACCUUGCAGACCCAGUAAACAACAACGCCUGGUCCUACACCACAAACUUUGUCCCCGGAAAAUAAAAAUCUUAAAACAUUCUCAAGUUUCUGAGAUCCCAGAUCUUCAGCGAGGGUGGACUUGACUACUUGGGCAACCCAAGCUUGGUCCAUGCACAGAGCAUCUUGGCCAUCUGGGCUUGCCAAGUUGUGUUGAUGGGAGCUGUUGAAGGUUACCGUAUUGCUGGUGGACCUCUUGGUGAGGUUGUCGACCCACUCUACCCAGGUGGCAGCUUCGACCCAUUAGGCCUUGCCGAAGACCCAGAGGCAUUUGCUGAGCUCAAGGUAAAGGAGAUCAAGAACGGUAGACUUGCUAUGUUCUCUAUGUUUGGAUUCUUUGUUCAAGCCAUUGUUACCGGAAAAGGUCCAUUGGAGAACCUUGCUGAUCACCUUGCAGACCCAGUAAACAACAACGCCUGGGCCUUCGCCACAAACUUUGUUCCCGGAAAGUGAAUAUCAUAAAAUGAUUUUCAAAUUUUCAUGUAAAGUUGUUGUGAAUGAGUUGACAAUAUAAUGGAUUUUUCUAUUCCAAUGA